UCCCUAAUGGCAACCCCGCCUCCUCCGUGU
rnacentral:piRNA from 1 species